rnacentral:lncRNA from 1 species
CAUCCCCCAAAAAGAUUUUAAAAAUAAUGAGUAUUGGUAUGUAAAUUAAUUGAAAUAAAACAGAAGUCAAGUGAAAAGUCAACCAAGCAAACUAGGUCAAAAAUAAAUCCAAAAUAAAUUGAAAAUGGGAAAUAAAAUUCCAAGAAAAUGUCAGGUUGACCAUGAGACAUUGGUCAACCCUCAUCCCAAAAAUCAGAACCUAAAAAUAAUUUUAAGCUAUGAAAAUAAAAUUAAUAAAAACAAGUGUUUCAAAAUGAACCAUUUAGAAUAAACAAUUAAAAUGAAAUAUUAACAUUAAAUAAAUAUGAAAAUAAAA